ACACAGGGCUUGGAUCUGAGGCUGGUAAGAGCUGUUCUAAUGGGGUUUUGUGGGGGGCUCAAUGGGGAUAGGAGCAGUCCCCUCAAGUCUAGCAGAUUAGGGUGGAUUUUGGGCUACUUUCAGGAUGUCCUCUUCCCUGCAAGGGAGCUUUUUCAUUCUGAGUGCUGUGAACUCCCUUUGUUGCACCGUAGUUGAGUUGGAGUAAUAGAGCUGCUGCAUGUCUGAGGAAUGAAUCUUGGUUCAAACAGUGUCUGUAGCAGAACUGAGACCAGAGUUCUUGAUCUUCACUCUUCAGACUCUUGCUCCGUAUGCUCAACUGUUUUGUACACUACUUUGUUUGGGCAGAAUUUAUUUUGGGCACAAGGUCACUUAUGGUGACCAUGAAUGUAAGGGAACCACUGAGGUGACCAAAGCCAUUAGGAUUUUUUUGUCUGUUUCUUCUUGAUGAGCUUAGACAAAUGCUGCAGCUGGUAGUAGGAUCAUGAUUCUUUCUUAUCCCAGUUCUUCCCUCCUGUCAAAACUGAAGAUAACAUAACAUCAUUUCUGAAUUUCCCGAUUUCCGAAGAUGACAUAACAUCAGAGUUCCUGUAUCUAUUUACUACAAGAGAAGUAAGAAUUUUAUGAUAGACCUGUAGGUGACUAUUGUGACCAUCAGCAAGCCAAGAAGCUACGUAGCAAUAAAGCUUUCUUGAGUUUGGAUUAGGUCUGUGGAUGGAACUCCCACAGGAGCUGGGACCAGUGCAAACCAAGGCACCUUCUGUGCUAGGUGAAAAGUGCAUGUAUUUGACCUUGUCUUUCCUAACAAAAUAUAUAGCAGUCUGUCUAAUAAAACGAAACACUCCACUGCACAUGAUUUUGCCCCUGGGGAGAGGAUGAGGACACCAGCACGUGACAGAUGUUAGUCAUAUCACUUCAUGCACUGCUGGAAAGCACUUGAGUAUUGCAGUGAUGAGUGUGGAUAUAAGAGCCUGAAUAGAAGAGAAUGAAAUAGCAAUUGACUGGUGUUUUCCAUUCCCAUUAUCCUGGGGCCUAAAAUAUGGAUAGCCUGUGAAAGUACAUUUCCUGAGAAGAAACACAAACCGUCUACAAACAACCUGAUGAAAGCAUUUUCUAUUCUGCUCUCAGGACUGAAUGUUUGCUCGUCACUUUUCCUGCUGCAGUGAGUUGUGGCAUAGAUGCACUCACUAGGAAGUGCAAUUAUGAGGGUAAUGCGUCUCCCAUCAACUUGUAUCAGCUUGCUGAUAUGCCCCACUAGAAUACAUGCAAAGCUAGUUUAUUUUCACACCUGAAUCCCUUGAGGCCAUCACAGUCUGCAUCUAGACCACGGUGCAAAUAAGGAUAUUAAGACUUAGGACUCUGAGUGCAAGGACUUCUGCUACACUGCAAGCCUCUCUGCUGCCAGAGAAAAUUUUUCAUUAGCUGCCAGUGGCACUGUCUUUGUUCUAAUAGAUUAGUGAGGAAGAAAACAAACAUACAAACAGUUGUGUUGCUAUGUGACAUAAGCAAUCAUAUAUUUUGCUUCCUUUUGCCUCCUUAAUCUUCAACGUUACUAUGAAAGCUGUAGUUUUAUCUUGGAGCUGGUGACAAGUGAAUAAUGUAUCUGGCUUGGUUGCAGUGUCCAUGUAAAAGUAAAAUUUAUGGCAUCAUAUUCAAAAUGAAAACUUCAAACAAUGUAGUUUCAGAGUGAUUUGAAAUGAUUUGUUUGUUUCUUAAUCAGUGGUUGUUUCCAAUCCAACUUAACAGGAAGCUACAAAAUGCUAUAACAUUUUGCACUGUGGAUCAGGUUUUUCUCCUCUGUAAUCAGAUCAGCUGCUGCUUCUAUCUGUAAUGUCAAAGAUCUGGAAAUGGAUAUUUUGGCUUAUCACUGGUAGUUAGGUAGUUCUGAAGGGAACUCAAUUUCCUCUGCCAAAUGAAGUGAUAAAAAGUAAUAAUGGGCUUUGGAUACAAAGACUAGUUCUGUGAUAAUUCAUAAUUUGUAUCAGUUGCUGCAAAUAGUCCUGAACUGAAAAAAUCUGUGAGUUCUAUGCCUGUCUGAUACUCUUUUGGAAGUGGUUUGGAUGUAGAUGACUCCUCUAAUUGUAUGGAUUUUUGCAUACUACUGUUAUCACAUUUCAGGCAGCCUUAGCUUCUACUCUUUCUGAUCUGUUUAGUACAGUAAUAUGGCUGUAUUUUCAGUAGAUAUUUUUUAAAAGAAAGAGAUUAUACUAGUCUCUGUUCUGCUCCAAAUAAACAGGUAUUGUAAU
rnacentral:lncRNA from 7 species